AUGGACGUGUUUUGUUUGAGAUUCUCUCUGCUUGAUGCAUUGUCUGCCUACAACGCAGGGCAAACUCUACUCCUCCCUUCUGGCCCGGCCUGUAAUGAUGGAUUAAGUAGAGUCUGCCCUCAGAAUUCAGGUCCUUCUCCAGGGCUCGGGGAACCUGCCUGCCUGAGGUUGACAGCAUCACGUGAGCAUGUAUGGGACUGCAUCUCAUGCUGUCAGAACUGACACUUGGUGGAAGCAUUGCUGGUACGCCUGGCGCUGCAGUGAGAGGUGGGCUGGCCAGAGGGGACCCCUGCUCCCCCAUAGGCACUGAGCCCCUGCUGCUGGGGGAUGGACCUGGGGGACUAGAAGCAGGCCACCUCAGGAUGGAAGUGGAGUCUGAGCCUUGUAGAGUCGUAGAAUUAUGAAGAUUGGAAAAAGCCACUGAGAUCAUCAACCCAUCCCCACUGUGCCCAUGAUCCUCAGUGCCACAUCUGCCCUUAUCUUGGGACAGCCUGGGAGCUGGAAGGCUGGUUUUUUUUUAUGGACGGUUUCAGCUGGAUUUCUCUCUUCUUUCAAAUGAAGUGUUUCCUCUUGGAUGGUUUGAGCCUGUCCUCCUUUGGAUCUUUGUUUUUGCAAAUCCAAGUCAGUGUGGCUCAUUCUACCUGGAUCUUAGGAGGAAGGCUGUCUGUUAAAGACAAGCUGAAGUUCAGAGUGUUGGCAGUGGUCAAGGAAUGAACCAGGACCCCAGUGGCCUUGCUCGGCUCUUGAUCAGAUGAAUUUUCUUCUGGAGAGCCAGGAGGUGGGUUAGGGAAGGCUGUUGCUGUGGCAGCAGGAGUGGAUCAGCCCUCUGCAGCCUGCUCCUUCACACAGCAAGCUGCUCAGCGACCUGUCAGCUCUGUGCUGAUCAGAUGGGGGCUGAAGGCAGAGUUCAGAGCAGGAGGAUGGGUGGGUCUGUGUGCUGCUGUGACGGAGAAAAAAGGCAGCAGGCGGGUGUGAUGGGCCCGUCCCAGCCUUCUGCUUUUCCCAUGAGUUGCAUAGUGCCAGACCCUUGCUGUCCAGUUCUUUGAUUUGGGGACAGCACAGGAGAGCUGGGGGGAAAUCCAA
rnacentral:lncRNA from 1 species